rnacentral:sRNA from 1 species
GUGCGGUGCCGGGAGGGCGGCUGGGCAGGCUGCAGGAUGCUGCGCGCCGCCCUGUCCCUGCUCGCGCUGCCCCUGGCGGGGGCGGCCGAAGAACCCACCCAGAAGCCAGAGUCCCCGGGCGAGCCUCCCCCAGGCUUAGAGCUCUUCCGCUGGCAGUGGCACGAGGUCGAGGCGCCCUACCUGGUGGCCCUGUGGAUCCUGGUGGCCAGCCUGGCCAAAAUAGCCCCUAGGGUGCAGGCUGGCUUACUGGACUUCCUGCUGUUUGGGAGCCUCAUCUCGGCGGUGGACCCUGUGGCCGUGCUAGCUGUCUUUGAGGAGGUGCACGUCAAUGAGACUCUCUUUAUCAUCGUCUUUGGCGAGUCCCUGCUCAAUGAUGCUGUCACCGUGGUGCUGUACAAGGUCUGCAACUCCUUUGUGGAGAUGGGCUCUGCCAAUGUGCAGGCCAUUGACUACCUGAAGGGAGUCGCGGGUCCGCAUCAUCGAGCCGCUGCUGGUCUUCCUCCUCGCCUACGCAGCCUACCUCACUGCUGAAAUGGCCUCGCUGUCCGCCAUUCUUGCGGUGACCAUG